AAAUUUACACCAGUGUUUCCAAUAUGUGGAUUUGUCAUUAGGACAAACUGACCAGCAUAACUAGGAUCAGUAAGUAUUUCUUGAUACCCUGUCAGAGAUGUGUUAAACACCACUUCACCAACUUGUGUUCCUCUAGCACCAAAUGACUUGGCCUUCCAAAUCGAGCCAUCUUCAACACAAGUCUAGCAUCGGAAAUUUUCCAAGGCCUCUCCACAACACCAGAGGCGACCCCGUCAGGAGAAGCAUAACAUUUUACAGUGAAAAGAUUCUUCAGUGGUUUUGCUCUGGUUGAAGGUUUCAGAGAAAUUAGGCAAUUCGACGGAUUUGUAACAGCAAACUCCAUCUCCUCUCUUCUCCUUGUUGAUGUCGUUACAGGAUUAGGGUUUUCCUUGCGUUUUAUAUGGGUUUAUGAGUUCACAAAAUUCCAU
rnacentral:misc_RNA from 1 species